UGUGUUUGAGCCGAAUUUCACUUUAUUUACAAAAUUGGCACCGCCUUUUCUCUCCCUCUUUCUCUCUCCCGACUCUGUCGAUAACCAUCCAUCAAAUCGCCCAUCCUUUCCUUUUCUCACUCUGUGAGCUCAUUUCCUACAACCCUAGCACUGUUUCUCUCUUAUUUCUCUCAAAUUCGAGAGACUUCUCUCUCCCAUUUCUCUCAACCUAGCCCCAGCGCUGCUCACCCCAUUCCUCUUCAUCAUCUCAGUUAAAUCCGUUCAACAAUCACCGAUGCACCUCCACACGAACCCAUAUCGAAUUUUCCUCCUGCCCACGAACCAACCUCCAUUUCGUGGAUCCACCUUUGUUGCAAGUCGCCGACACCCACAAAUGAACUCAGAUACGACCAUCAAAAGUAGGGCGGAGCUCUCGAAGAUGUCAGAUUUGAGAAGGGAAAAGGAGCGGAGCGGAAUUUAAAAUGCGCGAGCUCUGCUUCCAGGCCUCCCCGAAACGCUUGCAGAAAGGUAGGUGCUUGGAUGGGAGUGGACGUAGGAGCAGGAAGUGUUACGAGGAGGGGAGGUAGUAGCCUCAUCUGCUGUGUUGCAGUAGUGAAGUGAUUAGACGUCGGUAUGGCAUCUGCUAGCCUAGGGAAUGGUGGAGUUGGCAGUUCAAGUGGGCCUGGAAGUGAUUUUCCUGGAACGGGAAAGGUAAUCGAGAUUAGUCUCUGAUUGUUUGAUCAUCCUAUAUAUAUUUGAUGAAGCUUCAACUAGCUUCUACCAGACAACCCCUCAUUUCUUUAUGUGAUGGAUUUUCGAAUGAAAUGCACUCAACCCUAAAUUCCAGUGGGGGUGGCUGAAGCAGUUGCCGGAUAUGACUUAUGGCAGCCAAGGUUCCUUUAUUGUCAUGCUUUUAGUUUUAUAAAAUAUGACAAGUUGAUAUAAAUAUAUAUGUAUAUAGAGAACUUACAUCUCUUGAUAGAUUGUGUUGCUAGAUAGUUUUUCACUUUCCUGCUCAAAAUAAGUUUAUCAUGUUAUGCUGUCCAACUAUUGAUUUGGAACAACGUUAUGUAAAUACUUUAUUCUGUCCAACUAUUGAUUUGGAACAACGUUCUGUAAAUACUUUUCACACCAUACUUAUAACACAUUAGUCCUGUAUUUGAAGACUUAUAUACAAUACUUAUAAUUCGGAUGAAGAGAUCCCAAUCUUUGUUUUUGGGAGUUUUUUUAUGCUUUGCUUUUUGAGCGAAUCUUUGUUUAUCAUUUUUUAUCAUAACACGGUCAUAUGGUGUUACUGUCCGUUCUUUUAGUUGUUAAAAUCUGCUUUUUUGAGUUGUACAUGAACUCUUAACGUAGAAUUAGUAAAAUGCAGGUGCAGAAUGAACAACUAAUCAAUGUGAGAGAAGCUUUUAAUUUUUUUGGGUUCAAUUUUAAAUGGGUUGUUAUCAACCAUUGAAUUGCUUUUGGAGUUUUCAUUUGAUAAGAGAGAUGGGGGAUUCUUUUGGGUGAAACUUUUAAUCCGUGAGAUUUUUAGUUAGGUUGUGUUGUGGGUUUUUGCAAAUUUCUACCGUGUUUAUGCAUGCAUUUUUUGUUAUAGAUAUGGAAGAAAAUAGCAUUACAGGGUGUUGAGGGUUUGUUGGUGGGGGAAGGCAGCAGCGUUAAGAUUUUGCAGGUGAGAUAUUAGGGUGAGAGAAAAAGGGAACAAAGAGAAUCGAAGACACAUUUGGGAAUAGGGGUUAGCAAAACAGGGGAAAAGAAUAUGACAGAGGAAUGGACUCUUAAUUUUUUCUUAACUGGUUUGAGAUUUUGCUUGCCUUUGGGGUCGUCGUUGGCGUCAAGCAUUUGGUGUCAAGCGGUGUCUGUUUUUUAAUAACUUUUAUUAUUAAUUUUUAUGUCGUUUGCGAUUUUGUGUCCUAGGAUUUUUGAAUUUUAACGUUCAUUAUUGGUUUUUAAAUUUUUUUUUUCUUCGUUUAUUUGUUUUAUAUGUUGUGUUUGUGGUGAGACACUGUUUUGCAAGUUCUCCUUCCAUUGGGAUCGCUGCAUUUUUAAAGUGUUGAGGGUGAGAUUUAUAUACUCAAAACACUCCAUUUUUUUUUCCAAAUAUGCGCGUUUGGUUCUCUUCGGUUUUAAAUGUUUAAAAUUAAAUGGUUAUUUGGAUAAAAUGGUUUAUUAGUUUAUCUUAUGUGUUGUGAUCAGGAAUUCAAUUGGAUUGGGUAAAAUGCUUUAUCAAUUUACGUUAUAGGGAAUUUUGUGUAUUAUGGUCUGUGAGUUUUAUUGCUCAUCGUUUGUUCUUUUUUCUUUGUUUGCCGGUUUCUUUUGCUGGGGAUCACUACAGUUUGGGAGUCAAAAUGACCACACUACCCCGUCAAGGGUUCAGAUCUUGCCGUCAGAUCGCAUUGUAAUGGGUCUCUUUGGAAAUACAAUUCUUAAGACCAAUUGUGAGAAAUAAGACAUUACUUUUGAUAAACCAUAUUGGGAGUGAAGGAAUCUCUUUUUGACCUGGUCAUCUUGGAGUACAUUUCUACUAACUUGGUACACUAUGGAAAUUCAUGAACUCUUUUAAUGCAUUCAAAAUAUUAUUUUGUAUGAUUUUUUACAUACGUUUGUGGAUGAAGGGUUUAGGUGCUCUGAAAAUGCCCACCCUUAUUUUUUUUACACCAAGUGUAUAUGGCAACCCAGGCAUUCCAACUUGCUCAGGUACUUCAAUCUUUUCAGUUUUUGGUAAUUUUUGCCCCUGUUUGGUUGCUGGGAAGGAGAGGGAAAAUAAGGGAAAUCAUCAAAGUUGAUACAUAUCAUUUGUUUUUAGUCACAUUGAUUUUUAUUGUGAGAAAUUAUGUGAUUAUUUUUUUAUAAUUACCUGUGGAAUUGAAUAGUAUUAGCUAAAGCUCUCCCACUGCUCAGUUGCAUCUAUAUUAAGAAAUUGCUGAGUAGAUGGACUACAAAACUCAAAUUCCCUCCUUCUGUAUAUUUGCAGUUGCUUUUCCGUGUAAAUCUUCUCUUGCAAAGAAAUUCAAAGGCCUCUAAUUGUAUUCAUGGACUAUAACUGUAAUUAUACAAUGUACAUUAUUAUUUAAAAUUAAAAAGGUAUAAUUUAUAUAUAGUCAAUUUAGACUCAUUAAAAUAUACAAUCUUUAAAUACAAAAGUAAAUUUGAAAGAAGUUGAAGUAAUAUAUGAAUGCUAUGUGAUUUAUUAUGUUCAAAAUUGAAAUUGGAAUCAUGCUGUUCUUUGAUAUGGAUGAAGUGUGGUGUUCUCCUUCAAAAAGUUGAAAUUAGGUCUCUCCAUCCCCUUAAUUUCAUUUUCUAUUAGCAAAGAACUGGGAUACCAAUGUACUUAUGUGUAUUGUUUCAAUUUCUAUGUUUGCUAAUCUUUUCCCAGGGAAAUACUUCAUUUAAGGAAAAGCCUGAAAUAAUGUUGUCAAGUGCUAUAUUGAAGCUAUCAGAUUGAACAUGAUGUGUGCAACUUAGAUUGCAACCAUGCAAUUGCUUACUUGGAGAUUUAUUCUCUACGAUUCUCUGGUUAGGGUAAGCAUUUUGGUGAGCUUUGAUUUUGUGAGGGUAAGCUCUUAAUCUUUCCUCUAUCGUUUUGUAGUUCAUCCUAUUGUUUUAAUUUAGAGCUAUUUUAAUGCUUUUAUGUUUGUCGUUCCGUGCUGGGAAAUUGGAAAGCUCUGGAAACAAUAUAGUUCUUGAGCUAAUGUGAAGAUUUUGGGUUGAACAUUGUGCUGUGAAGAUAUUGGGUUUAAUAUUUGAUUCCGUUUUUCAUUUUGCACUUACAAAAACAGAGGAUUGUGGUUAAUUAUUGUGAUGUGAAGCUUCUAUUUGAUGACGACUUAAUGAGUAGCGAUGUAAAUUAAACUACGUAUUUUAUGGAUCAAUUCACAUAUCUCUUGCUUUUUCUUUCA